ACGAACGCUGGCGGCGUGCUUAACACAUGCAAGUCGAACGGUGAAGCGCCUUCCUUUUUGGUGGGUGUGGAUGAGUGGCGAACGGGUGAGUAACACGUGAGUAACCUGCCCCCUUCUUCUGGAUAACCGCAUGAAAGUGUGGCUAAUACGGGAUAUUCUGGGUCUGUCGCAUGAUGGGUCUGGGAAAGAUAUUGUUUCGGUGGGGGAUGGGCUCGCGGCCUAUCAGCUUGUUGGUGGGGUGAUGGCCUACCAAGGCGGUGACGGGUAGCCGGCCUGAGAGGGUGGACGGUCACACUGGGACUGAGACACGGCCCAGACUCCUACGGGAGGCAGCAGUGGGGAAUGUUGCACAAUGGGCGCAAGCCUGAUGCAGCGACGCCGCGUGAGGGAUGGAGGCCGUCGGGUUGUGAACCUCUUUCGCCAGUGAAGCAGGCCUGCCUCGUUUGUGGGUGGGUUGACGGUAGCUGGAUAAGAAGCGCCGGCUAACUACGUG
rnacentral:rRNA from 1 species